rnacentral:tRNA from 1 species
GGGCCCGUAGUCUAGUGGUUAGGAUUCGUGUGCACGUGCACACGACUGAAGCCGCCCUUACAAGGUUGAGGCCGGGGGUUGACCCUGGGAGCGGCGGUGGUCCCGGGUUCGAAUCCCGGCGGGCCCA